rnacentral:ncRNA from 1 species
GUGAGCCUAGUGAUGGGAGACUAUCUAGCUUGGUUCGGAGAGCACUUGUUUUGUUGGGUUAAAGAUUUCUUUUUUGCGGGAUUUCCCGGCCUAAAUGCUGAACUAUUGACCCUAC